rnacentral:rRNA from 1 species
AGGUAAUACUUUAGGAAACCUUCAUUUCAUGACGGCCUUUUAUCUUUUUAGAGAAACUUGUUCUUUUAUCGAUACUCCUCGUUUAUUUUUACUUCAAUCAAGUUCUUAUACCGCCGUCUUAAGAUCUUGUUUUAAUUCAAUUUUCCCCAAAAUGUUUGUCAAGUCAGGUCAAGGUAAGGCUUAUGUAGAAGUUAGAAAUGAGUUGCAUAUAAAUUUCAUUUUAGGAUUUCUUUUCUAAAGAUUUUAUGAAAUAGGAUUUAUUAGUAGACAUUUAUUAAAAUUUAAUUACGAAAAUGAAAAUUAGGUGU